UACGUAGGGCGCAAGCGUUGUCCGGAAUUAUUGGGCGUAAAGAGCUCGUAGGCGGCCUGUUGCGUCCGCUGUGAAAUCCCGGGGCUUAACCCCGGGUCUGCAGUGGAUACGGGCAGGCUGGAGGCAGGCAGGGGAGAACGGAAUUCCCGGUGUAGCGGUGAAAUGCGCAGAUAUCAGGAGGAACACCGGUGGCGAAGGCGGGUCUCUGGGCCGAUACUGACGCUGAGGAGCGAAAGCGUGGGGAGCGAACAGG
rnacentral:rRNA from 1 species